UGUGAUCUGGGCAAGGCAGUGCCUCUCUGAUCUCAUGGAAGCAUUUGGCUCAGGAGUACCUCAAACUCCACCUGUGUACACUUGAAUGAAUCUCUCCAAGGAUCCCUGUGAUGCAGACGUUAUUUUGCUCAGCUCUCCUAGGUUUCUUCUCCUGCUGAACUCAGCCCUCUGCUUGCCUGAUUACAACUUUGCUGCUACUUGGCUGGGCAGUACAGCAGACCAGUGAUUAUACUGAAGACUAGCAGUUCAAGGUCUUAGGCAAGAGCCCCUCCUGGAUAAUAGACUCUAUAAGUGAAGAAGAAUUAGAAAAUGGAUUAUUUCCCCAGCCCAGGUAAACCCCAGAGGUGAUGGGGAGGUGGGCAGUUCUGCUCCGGUGAUUUCUUGAAACAGGCCUUCCACUUGGCUGUCACCACCAUGGCCCUUACAUCACUGCUCUUUCCCGAUGGCAUGUAUGAGCUUCCUGUGGCUGCUGUAACAAGUUAUCAGACAUGGUGGCUUAAAAUAUGACACAUUUAUUCUCAGAGAUGUGGAGGCCAGAAGUCUAAAAUUAGUUUCCCUGUGCCCAGAGUGAGAUGCUGGAGGCUUUAGAGUAGAUUGGCUUCCAGGCUUUGUCCAGCUCCUAGAGCUGCAUUCCUCUUUGUAGCUCCUUCCUUCUGGGAUUUCAGCUUUUACUUAAGAGACACGAGGAGCCACUGAAGAGUUUUGAGUAGAGUUGUGUUCUGUUCCAAUUUAUGUUUUAAGAGGACAACGCUGGCUGCCUGUGGAGAAUAUGAUAUAGGUGUAAGAGCAAAGGUGAAGACCAGGUAGGAGACGAUGGCCAUCAUCCAGACAAGAGGUGGUUUAGAUCCCAGGGACAACAGGGAAAAGGCUGACACAUGUGCACCUUCCGGAUAUAUUUGGAAAGGACUCCCUGAUGUGGAGUGUGGUGUGUGAGAGAAAACCAAGGACAACGGCAAGGGCUUUGGUCUGACCAACUGGAAGAAGAAAGAAAAAGUCAUUAACAGCUGAGAUGGGUGGAGCCAGAGAACGGAGCAGGGUACUGUGGAGAGGAUGGGUGGGAUUAGUCCAUUUGAGCUCUUGCGUUAAAUUUGAGCUCUGUCUUAAGUAGCCAUGUGGCGGUAUCAAGAGCUAUUUGUGUAUUUGAGUUUGGAGUUCAGUAGAUGGAUCUCAAAAGGAAAGAGAGCUGUGGCAGUCAUUGGUAGGUGGAUAAUAACCCAUGCCAUGAGAUCAGAGGCAAGGCAGAGGGUGAGGGUAGGUGGAGUCAAGGAGUGAGAAAGACCCAGGCCUUCAACAUGAAGAGUUCUGAGUGAAAAUGGUAAGCAGCCAAAAGGAAACCAAAGAGGAGUGGGCAAUAAUACAGGACGCAAGGCAGGAGAGCAUGGGACCCUGGGAAACAAGUGAAGAAUUGUGGAGGAACUAGCUAACCAUCAAGAUGUUCACUGACAGAAGAAGAGGGGCUUUAGCAACAGGGAGGUCAUUAUGACUUUGUCAGGAGCUCUCUUGGUACACUGGAGACAAAAGGCAGAUGGUAUGAUCUCAAGAAAGAAUGAAAGGGGAGGAAUAGGAGUCAGUCAAUUUAGCCAACUCUCCUGUGGAAUUUUGCUGCAAAGGGGAGUUAAGAAGUGAGAUUGCAAAUGCAAACAUUCAGAAGAGGUGCUUUUUGUGCAUGUUUUUCUUUGUUAAAUUGACUCUAUAUUUGUGUGUUGAUGAUAAUGACCUAGCAAUGGGGAAAAAAUGACCCACUAUUAUUAUAAAAUACGAAGGGAAAUUUCUAGAAAAAUAUUCUUGCAGAGGCUAAAGGGGUAGAAUCUACUCCCCAAAGUCACUGGAUUUAGACAUUAUCCAUUGUGGUAGUUGAAAAGGUAGAGUGUGUGGGUAUCAGUGGUAGGAAAUGGAAAACCUCUCUGGCUCUCAGUUUUCUUAGUCCUGACUCGGCCUUAAAAUGCUCACCUCACAUAGAUCUUGUAGGGACCAAAUAAGUUAAUGCAAUUAAUAUAGGUAAGGCCUCAAAACCAGAAACCUCUGACUAAUCGUUGUCCCUGAGACUUCAGUUUCCAGAUCUGGAAACCUCUCCUUUGAGACAGCCACAUCAAUUAGAUAACUUGCAGAAGUUAGAAAGGUUGAGUUUAUCCAUAAACAGCUCGUUAAAAUUUUAAAACAUUUCACUUUUAACAAAAUGCUUGCAUUUAAAAUAUCAAAUCAAAGGCAAUCACAAAAUCUGACAAAGUAUCAUAUUUUGUAUCUCUAACAUCCUGUCUGGAUAAGCUAGUUUCAAAACUAAACAUUUAUUGCCCUAGAUUCUGACAAAAUUUAAGGUACAGCACCUGCUGUAUCAGAACCUUUGAGAAAACAUCUCCUACCCUACUUGAUCUCCUAGCAAUUAUCAGCCAGACAAUGAGCCAAAGUGUGCAGUCAGCCAGGUUGCAUGGGACCUGUGACGUCACUUUGGCUUUCCAGAUCUGUGAACUGAGAUUCUGCGGUGCUUUAUGGGGCUAGAUUGACUGGGGGCCUCCACUCUCCUUCUGUGGAAUUUGGGUAGAUAGUUCAACUUCUCUGAAUCUCACAAUUUCCUCAUCUUCCAUUUGCAUCAUGAGAAUCAAAUACAAUCCAAGGAGAAAACUACGUACCAAGGUCACCUCUAGGCAUUUCAAGUUAAGGGGCUGAAGCAGCUGCUACCACCCAGAGGAGGGCAGAAUGCACCAGGAUCUACCUGCGGAGGGUGUGCAAAACACCUGUGUCCCUCCACUUUUUCAAGCCAUUAGUCUGGAAAUGGUGGUCUAGACCUUGUCUUGAAGAGAAUACCAAGGACACAAAUGGACUUUCUUACAAAGAUCCAGGGAUAAUUAGUACUGUCUAUGAUGUGUUCAGGAUGAGCAAGAGGUAUCUGUGGCAGGGCGUUUGCAAUCCCAGGUUUAAAGCUGUGCAAGUCUGUCAGAAGUGUUUUUCGGUUCCAUUUCAUUGACUUUUCUUUUGCUUCCACAUUUAUCUCCAUGUAGGACCCUCUUCUUUCCCUAGAUAGGCCUUACGUGCUCUUGGAUUUUUAGAUUUUAUUAACUCUGAGGGGAGAUGAGUUGGUAGAGAGUGUCGCGAGAGUUUCUUUCUUCACUUGGAUUCUGUGGUGACUUUUCUGCAAAGAUGGUCCCACGUCCCUCCUCCUAUCAGGAAACAGAGUCUGAAAUUUCCAUCUUACAAAUUGGGGCUGGCUUUGCCCCAGUUUGGUUGGGCCUCUAGCAUCCAGCUGGUGUGAUUGCAUCCUGGAACUCCUGAGCCUGGACCCAGGGAAGCCAUGUCGAUUUGCCUUCACUCAGAGGAAAUCCAGCCCACUGUGGAAAGAGGCCCAGGUUAUCCACGUGGACGGAGGGAGGCCAGGCGGAGGAGAACCUGGGCUCUGAAGCAGGAAUGAGUCUAGUUGACACUGAUAGAAUAGCGGAGCCUGGUGAUCUUAGCCAGCUGAUCCAGUCUUUCCAGCUAAGGCACAGAGAUCUGGAUAAGGCCAUCUUGAGCCACCCAGUCCCAGGUGAGCCACCCACCUGAGACACAACGGGACAGAGAUGAGCUGUCCCAGUUGGGCUCUUCUCAGAUUCCCAGCCCAUAAGAAUUGUGGACAAUAAAAUGUAUAUCGCUCUGUUAUGGUUCAGAUGUGGUGUCCCCUAAAAGCUCACAUGUGAGAUAAUUCAAGAAGGUUUG